UUAGUUAGUAUUGGUGUUUUAUGUUUGUUUUGUUCAAUUUUCAGUUGUCUGGUGUUCAGUGGUGAUAUUUUGAAACAAAGAUUCCUAACUUUGCAAUAGUUUAAACACUAAUUAAAUGAAACAACCACUGGCUUUCCUUUAUUGUGUGAGUGCUCUGCACAAUCAAACGUUUGGAUUAUGGAAUCAGUGAAAGAUAUGUCUCGUGAACUAGUCCGGGCUAAUUAAUCAGUGUUUUAUAAUUUCCAGUGUCAACAAUUG
rnacentral:lncRNA from 1 species